AAGUAAGAAACAAAUAUUGUAAUUAGUUUCGACCUAAUGUAUGACGUAAAUUAUCGUCCUUACUUA
rnacentral:tRNA from 1 species